GAUUAACGCUAGCGGCAGGCCUAAUACAUGCAAGUUGUACGGGAUUAUUGGUAGCAAUACUGAUAUGAGAGUAGCGCACGGGUGCGUAACACGUAUGCAACCUACCUUUAACUGGGGAAUAGCCUUCCGAAAGGAAGAUUAAUACCGCAUAACAUUGCGAAACGACAUCGUUUUGCAAAUUAAACCUACGGGGGUUAGAGAUGGGCAUGCGUCCGAUUAGCUAGUUGGCGGGGUAAAGCCCACCAAGGCAACGAUCGGUAGGGGUCUGAGAGGAUGAUCCCCACACUGGUACUGAGACACGGACCAGACUCCUACGGGAGGCAGCAGUAAGGAAUAUUGGACAAGUGGGGGCAACCCUGAUCCAGCCAUGCCGCGUGAAGGAU
rnacentral:rRNA from 1 species